CGAAUGAAUGGACGAAUCAGCUUGUCUGAAUCACACGUUGUCUUAGCCAGAGCCUUUCCUCAGUAAUGUGCAUUGGCUCAGUCCAGCUCCUGUUCAGUUUAACAAGUACCACUCCUGACACCCUGAGACCUUCCCAGACCUCUGCAUUACAGGUGAAAGCCAACUAAAGAAAAGUUGUCCGAACCCAUCGUCCACUGAAUGUUCUGAAACGAAGAAAGAAAAUGUGGUGAGUCUGUGAUUCCACACAAAACAUGCAGGCAAAAACAAUUUAGCUACUGUACAAUACAAGGUUUCUAUUCUACUGUUGGUAAUACGGUAGCAACUAACAGUGCAUGUUGGCCUAACUAGCAUUUGUAGCAGUUUGUUCUC